rnacentral:rRNA from 1 species
AGUGAACGCUGGCGGUAGGCCUAACACAUGCAAGUCGAACGGCAGCACAGGAGAGCUUGCUCUCUGGGUGGCGAGUGGCGGACGGGUGAGGAAUACAUCGGAAUCUACUUUUUCGUGGGGGAUAACGUAGGGAAACUUACGCUAAUACCGCAUACGACCUACGGGUGAAAGCAGGGGAUCUUCGGACCUUGCGCGAUUGAAUGAGCCGAUGUCGGAUUAGCUAGUUGGCGGGGUAAAGGCCCACCAAGGCGACGAUCCGUAGCUGGUCUGAGAGGAUGAUCAGCCACACUUGAACUGAGACACGGACCAGCCUCCUACGGGAGGCAGCAGUGGGGAAGAUUGGACAAUGGGCGCAAGCCUGAUCCAGCCAUACCGCGUGGGUGAAGAAGGCCUUCGGGUUGUAAAGCCCUUUUGUUGGGAAAGAAAUCCAGCCGGCUAAUACCUGGUUGGGAUGACGGUACCCAAAGAAUAAGCACCGGCUAACUUCGUGCCAGCCGCCGCAGUAACAC